ACCGGCACUGCCUGAGUAUAGUUAGUCUGAGCUGUUUAGAUAUGGUAUAUGUAUCUAUUUUUAGUUAAAAAUCUUACUCGUAGGUCGUUGCAUAGACCGAAGUCGUUGAAUUCCAUUUAAUACUCGUUUAAAUAUUGAUUAUGAUAGAUUUUUUUUUUUUUUUGUCGUCAACUUUACAGACUCAUAUAGACUCUGUAAACCAAGCCGGAAGAUAUUGAUCCAUGUGAACGACGAAAGACGGCUGAAUCCUAACACUGCGUGCUAGGCUAUCCGCCUUUGUAUUCUGCGCUCUUGGUACAUGGACGAUCUCUGAUUGUAGGAAACUUGCUCUCAGACUUUUGAUGUCUUCCAAAUAACUUGCAAACGCUGGCCACUCUUCUGGUUCCGAAACCAUCUUCACCAAUUGAGAACAAUCCGUUGCAAACGUAACCUGAGAUUGACGUAAAUUCCUCAUACAUUCCAUAGCCCAUAGUAGUGCUUCCAUCUCCGCAUGUAGAGGAGAAAG
rnacentral:lncRNA from 1 species